rnacentral:rRNA from 1 species
UAGUGCAGCCCUAAGAGGGUGGUAAACUCCAUCUAAGGCUAAAUAUGACCACGAGACCGAUAGCGAACAAGUACCGUGAGGGAAAGUUGAAAAGCACUUUGAAGAGAGAGUUCAAGAGUACGUGAAACCGUUUAGGGGUAAACCUGAGAAACCCGAAAGGUCGAAGGGAGAAAUUCAUUCGCGUUUCGACGCAGGCGUCGGACGGUGUCGUGUGACGGGAAACGUUCGCGUUUUCCGCGCCCGCCGUUCGUCGAACCGGCGGCGAACGCGUGCACUUUUCUCCUGGUAGGACGUCGCGAUCCGUUGGGUGUCGGUCUACGGCUCGUGGUGGAGCCCGUUUGUCGUUGCAAAACGUGUACGAACGGACCCGCGUGUCCCGGCCGACUCGCUCGACGGUAUACGAAAGGUUUAAGGCCGCUCUUGGAGCGUUCGGCUCGCGGCAAGCGCGCCAGAUGCGUCGGCGAUCGGACCCAGUGCCGAUUCUGACCUCUGGUGACUGUUGGCCGCGAUGUUCUCGAACAGACCUUU